CGAGGACAAUGCACUUUCGGCGAGCCUCGGUGGUUUCCUUGGUGGCGUUGGUACGCUCAAAUUUUGUCGGCUCGAGGAGAUGGUUACGUCACACCUGGCGCUUGCAUGAUCAUCGGAACGUUUGCUCCUGCGGGGAUAAGACACUUCGAUAUUGACCUGCGUUCCCGAUUGGAGGAGAAAGACUCUUGGUCGGUGUCGCCGAAGAAUCGUAGAUUUUUCUGAACGGAGACGCGUUCGGGUGCCGAGGAAGCUUCUUCGUCUUCGGUGCCAGUAGUCAAGAUUUCGCUCUCAGGGAUUCUCGGUUUUUUAUCGACGGGCUGUAAGCGUCAAAGAGGAAAAAUCAGAAGGUCGACUCCACAAUACAAGUCCUCAUUAAAAUAUAAUUAGCGAGGGCCACUUUGCAGAUAAAGUUCUUCACAAUGAAUCCCCAUCGAAGUGGGAUUCGCGAGAUGCAUGUCACAUCUCUCUGCAAAUACGAAGUAAAAAUAAAGCCUCGAGAACAACGAGCAGAAAGCAGUUGAAAAUAUCGAAAGACCAAAAAGAUAGCGAGAGGCAACGAGAGGAAGGGAGGCAAGGAGUACAAUAAAAAAGGAUGAUGCGAGUCUAAAAUUAUCGUGCUGGCGAGAACAUUACAGCAAAUUUCGCGUUCCCGGUAGGCGUUCGCGCGAGCAGAACGCGAGUCCAUUAUCUCUAUAAAGAGUGUGUACAUACGUAUACAUAAAAUAAUAUUAUAUACUUUAUACAUCCACACAGAUAAGAACAUUCACAUGUGUUAUUGUCCGUCUAUAUUUACACGUAUACGUAUGUAGACACAUUGGAAAGAGUUGAUCGCUUGCGGUCCAGUUAAUCCGAUGUAAGGCAGCUCGUUGUUCUUCAAGGGACAAACAAAAAGAAUGCCGAGGAUCCCAGCUCUGCCCUGGGGAUGUUGGAUUAAUGCCUAUGCCUCGCUCCUUCAAACAUGUGUGUGUGUGUGUAUGUUGUUUAAAGGAGGGACAGAAGAGGGAUAAAAUGGGAGCGAGAGGGAAAACCAAAAAGAGAGAAACGAAGAAGAAAGAAAGAGAGAGAGAGAGACGAUGCUGUUUCACGAUCACUCCACGGGAUAGCUCUAUACUUCUCGUUGUGUAUAACACAUACUACGAGGGAGUUACUAGCCCAAGAUACAAAGGUGGAUGUGUGCGAAUCGAAAAAUAAUGACUGGAAGGAGAGCGUGUGGCGCGUCGGGUACUGUGCGGCGUCGGCGGCGUCUUCAUGAGUCAUGACUAUGACCCCACCGAUAUCCAUGUUUUGCCUCAUCCAUAGAUCAUCUUCCACCGAGGGCUGUACUCACCGAGCAACAAAGUAAACGCAGAUCGGCGAUCUCCGUGGUGGGAAGAAGCAAGCCUUCGAAGUCGAGUCUGGUCGGGAAGCGUGAGAAAUAAUGGCUCAUUUUCACAGGCCGUUUUCCAGAGCUUUCCGUUAAUCGGCUUUACAACAAGUGGCCACGCGACGAAAGGUCGCGUCUUUAACGCUAUUUUCCGUACGCGUUCGAAGCCUUCGGAACCGAGAGCCCGCCGAAGCAUCCCCGAAGCGUUCCUGCUUCUCCCAUUUCUGUUUCGUCUACAUAAAUAUAUUUUUACACUCUCAAAGUGUAAUAGCGUUUUAUAGUUGGGCUCCUCCGAAGAGCCGGGGGAACGGGCUUGGAGCAGGAGGAACGGGCACUUAAUCUCCCGAUUAAAUUAAACCACAGAGCGCGCGCGGAGUUAGUUAAGCAUUUAAUCAAACUGGUAAUUGGUGGUUGGUAGUGGCCCUAAUGGCUCACCGGGCGCCCCUUCUGCACCCCUCGGAGCCCAAGCCUUUUUUCGCGAAGCCUCCUCCGACAGAGAGAAAGAGCUAAGAUCUGUUCCACUGACUGAUGAAUGUGCCCGCCAUUGCUGUUUUAUACUUGUAUACGUCAUACCCCGAUGUAUAUCUGUACCGAGGUGAAUCGUUUGUAUAUAUAAAUAGCGAAGACACAUUGCUGGCUGGUAAUAACAUCAGGGAUGUGAGAGACCAAGGAACGAAGAAAAAAUCACCAAUUUCCAAGACGAGCUCUAGGCAUUCUUUUGUCCCUCCGUAUAUGUAUAUCAGACGCGUAUAUUUCUCUCGCUGAGUCCACGUACAAGAACCAACGCGAUCAUGAUCGUUUAAGUGCAUGGGAACGAGCCCCAAGAGACCCCCAGUGAAGCUGUUUACAUUUUACUUUGAGGAAAGAUAUUCACCAGAGAUUUCUGACGUACGCCUCCUGGCUCUGAUUAUCUCUGGUAAGGGUGUUCUUCAAAUCGCAAAAGGGUUCCUCGUCACGGGUGAGUGUUCCCGUAGAGCGGGAGAGGCGGGCGGGCCUAGGAGGGCUGGGGCUUCCGCUUGGGGUCGAGAGACGUCGACGCUGGCUGUAAUCCUCCUGGAAGACGAAAGAUAAACGGGAAUCGUGAGAGCAGUUCAAAUUCCAGGCUAUUUACUCAAAGAAUUGAAGAGCAUCGUCGUCCGCUUACGUUCCUACGAUUUCCAUAUACGAUUAGCUCCGCCGAAAGUUCCUUGAGCAGAGUAUUAAAAAAAGUGGAUCGUUGGAACAUACGAAAACGUGGGGAAGUAGAAAAGGCAAAGGCACGAUGGGCCGAGAGGGGCGCGGGGAGAGCGUGGCCACGUGGGUGGCGCAAUAUCACGGCAGAAAGAUCGGGCGUAGCCGGGGGGUAAGUUUUUGCAACCCUUUUCCUUGCCGGUAUUGCGACUCCUCCUCUGCUCGAAGCUGUAAGCUGGCUUUUUCUUAGUCCUCAUUCAUAAAGUCGGGUUCGCUUGUGCGACAAGGCAGAGUCUGCAGCAGUGUCGCAGAAAAGGGCAAAAAACGAUGGAUUAAAUUGAGGCGACUUUUGAUACGGGUUGUAAUAAGAGUACGAAGGAGAGAGGGGCUCGAUGUGGGUAUUCGCGCGUGGCAGCGGUUCGCUCUCUGUACAUCGAAGGAAAGGAGAACUAUGCGUAUAAGCGAUGCAGCAAACGGCGCAUAAACUCUCUCAAAUGACUCAGGAUGGAUAGUCCAUAUCGCGGAAUCAUCUGCAUAUAGUACGGGCUGGCCAGCAAGAGAACGAGAGAGAGAGAGAGAGAGAGAGAGAGAGAGAGAGAGAGAGAGAGAGAGAGAGAGAUAGAGGCAAAGGCCGCUUUUCUACGAGAGAGUUCUUCCAUCCAUACGAGCAACAAUAUCCUGUGUGUGCUUUCCAUAACGAGUCGCGCGCGCUACCUCGCUCAGUCUUUCUCUCGCAGAUGAGAGAGAGAGAGAGAGAGAGAGGGAGGAAGAAAAAAGAGGCACACGAUGCGCUGCCCGAGGGCAUUGUGACCCACGCACCCCCCUGCUCUUGCAGCAACGGAUCGUAUGCCCGUGCGCGGCCUUCCCGGUCAGGCUUCUCCGUCUUUUGCCAUCUUUCUUCGAGUCCUCUUACGUUUGCUUCGCCAGUCCUUGUCCUUCUCGCAACAUCCUCAGCAAUGUUCUCCCAUCUUUGUCCUCUGCGCUCUUGUGCACAGGAGAAAAUGCUGCGGAGAGAAAGAGAGGCUCCCUCGACGCCCUUCUUCCCUAUUCCUCUCGGCAGCGCCUCGCCCUACCUGCAUCACGACGGGGAAUGCGUUAUGCACGGCUACUCCCUCGCGCCGCUCUUUUAUGCACACGUAUACAUUCACCCUUCCUCCCUCUUUCUUUCGCUUGCUCUUUCUUCGCGUGGGCUUCCUCCGAGAUUGGUCUAGGUCGUGGUUUAACGCUACGGCUUACCGCGUGUGUUCCCUUACACCAGAGACCCUGCAGCAUCCUCUUCUUCCUCUUCUUCUUCCUCCUCAUCCUCCUCUUUCUCCUCUUUCUCCUCUUUUCAUUCUUCUUGUUUUACUGCUGGGUGUAUUAUAAGAUUAUGUAGGUAUACUGCGGAGAAGAAUGGCCGGACGAGACGUAUGAGAACUGAAUCAUAACGAUAGCCGCCUCAACGUACGUGUAUGGAACGGUUAUCCCUCAAGAUUAUUGCGCGAAUUCAAGAGUUUUUAUGUUCCCUCGGUCGAGUCGAUUUGGACUCGACUUUUUGUCUCUGUGGCUUUUUAUUCUCGUUUAUUUUUCGAUCGAAUGUAGCGGAAAAGCUUUUCGUAGAUAAGAUAACUGUAGAGCGAGAAAUGAAGAGCUGGCCCCGUGAACAGGAGGGUGUUGGCUUCAAUGAAAUGAUCAAGAAAUAUAGUCGUUCCUCUUGGCAAACGAUCGUAGAAAAUGUAUUUGUGUACAGAGUUAUGGGAGUCGGUUGUACGGGCGCGUGUGGGUUGGCUUGUCCACACGUGGGUAAAACCUGAGGCUCUUCUCAGGGAAAUGCGGGCCUUCCAUAACAUCGAACCAGUACUUCUUUCGCAUUAGUCUUUAUCGUCUCUUUCUCCAUUUUCAUGUCUCUCGGUCGCGCACUCGCUUUAGGGACGAGACGGGCGGCGUUGCCGCUGCUGGGCGCUGCGGUUGUGCAACUUCUAUUCGGACGUGUAGCACUCGGCGUGUAACUCGAGUCUUCGCUACCAUUAGCUGUAAUUCGCUGACAAUUUAUCACGGAUUCCGGGAGGAACGCGAGAAUGAUAUUACCAACAGCGUUAUGUUACCUCAACCCUAAGAAUCAUUAGGAAUCAUCAAUUUCUUGGAUGAGUUCCCGCGGAUGCGCAGACGCAACGAGGUUUUUCGUUAUCGUUGAUGUUUCUGCUCUGUUGGAAAGCAUCGUUUUAGAGAAGUGUCCCUUCCUCAGGUCAUUUCUCCGAGCUGCACAGGGGCCAGAUUUUAUUUAAGCGGAUUCUAACAAAACACGAACGUUUUGGAAAGAGACAGGAAAAAAGCCCACGUGCGUUUUCAGAUCCGCUGUUAACAAGAGUCCUUGAUAUCGUACAAUCAAUCGCGUAGUCGCAUGCACUCGCAAUACUGACACUAAAUAUCGCAGCACAGUGAAAAAAACAGACUCGGAAAAAGUACAGAAAUUAUGAUUACUGUCCGGCGGUCUGUAAAGAUCUGCGGCACAGUUGCGAGCGUUAUCAGAGAGGCAGAUAUAUUCCUUGGGUAUCGGAAAGAAUGGACGCGUAACUGUGUAAGCAGCGAGGCCAAACAGAACAUCGAAAGGGUGCAAAACGAUCGUCUAGAAAGCGAGGGGCAUCUGCGGAGCAGGAGCGGAGCAAGGAGCAGAAAAAGGGGGAGAGGGAGAGAGAGAAAAAGUGCAACGUUGCGGUAUGAGCGGUGGCGGCGUCGGUAGCGCAAGAAGAGGCCUCUUCAGCGACUGCGUCAAGAGCGGGGUUAUAGCUGUGUGCCGUAGGACGGGAUGCGGUUUGACCAGGAAUGCGCAUCUUGCCGAGAGAGAGAGAGAGAGAGAGAGAGCCAGAAGGAGAGAAAGAGAAAAGGAGAACGCGCGUGUAAAACGUCUUCCUGCGCUUCGGUUUCUCGUCCUCCAUAAGCUCUUUGAGCUCCUUUAGCACACGCCAACCUCUCGGCGAAUCUCGAUCUAGUUUCGCGGAGCAAAAGAAACGAGAAGAGAGGAGGAAAGGAGGAAGAAAGAAAAAGGAAGAGAGAGAGAGAGAGAGCGAGAAAGGGAUAUGAAAAGAUGAGAGAGGAUUCUUGGAUUGCGGGCACAGCUUUAACAUUCUCCAGUAGUUCGCUUCAAUUUCACAGGAUUCCACUCAUUCCAAUAAAAUCUCAUGUAUUAUGCAGCACUGGUAUAACUAUACUCUCGGUAACCAGAUUACCGGUGAUUUCUCGAUCCCUCGGAAACGGUCAUACCAGGGCCUAAAACCAAUAGUGAGAACUGCAAGCUCGGUGUAUCGAAUCUUCGCAAAAGUUCGUAUCGAAUUUCCCGAGAAGGCGUUUCGUGUCAGCGCUAAAUAGUUGGGGAUCUCACAAAAUCAGGUUUUAUAUUGAUCUUGGAUUCUCUUCCUGCGCACCAUUGGAGACAAAGAUUUUAUAUUUACGGGCCGUCCCAGAGUUCACGUACGGCUGCGGACUUCCCAGCCGGAAACUCCGCGUGUGCUUCGAAGAUCGCAGUAACUUCGAAGACGGAAAGCACGUCGUUAGUGCACAGCAAAAUGAAGUUCGAAGCCUGUCCAGCUUCUCCCUGGGCAUUGAUAUUGUGCUCUUACGGGAAGUUUCCCCCUGGAUUCGUCUCGGUACUUCAAAUCCCCGAUAGCCGGAGCUUCGCGCAUAAAUUCUAGCAUCCUGGCAGCAGGUCCUCGUUAUGCCCUCUUUCUUCUCAAUUGUUCGCUUCCUUUGCUCCUAGCCAAGGUCAUCGGCUUGCGGGCAGCGUGUUUAAAGAGAGCUUCUUCCGAUGUGCGGAGAAGAUGUGUCCAGAGAGGUCUCUCUAUUCCACUAGGUUGCUGCGGUCGAGCGAAGUUGGAGCGAGUGGAAAAGGAGCAACCGGAUGUGCAUUCAUGGUGUGUUAAAUCUGGCUGAAUCCUCGUAAGGAGAACGGACUUGGUGGAUAAAGUUAUCGGCGUAAAAAGUCGCUCGACAUCGUGGUUGGUUAUGCGCGAGGGAAUAUUUAUCCUUCCCGAUGAAACUCACCAAAAUAAUAUGAUGCAAGUUUGAAGAUGCACAUUUUAUAUUUCCACCUUAAUUGAUUUCCCCCAGCGAGAAGCUUCCGAUAUCAUCGACUCAUUUGCACAUUAAAUACUCCCAUAACCGAUGAGCCAUUUGUGCGAACGUUGAUGACAUUCGGAAAAAGACUCAGAACCGCGCGAUUGGUCUAGUCGCGCAUGAGAUUGAUAGAGACUCUUAACCUCGUUAUAAGUGAACCGGAGACGCGGCGUGUGUUUGCCCAGUCUCGACGUAAUCACAUGAAUAUCAACGGAAAUCUGGUUAUUACAGGCGAUAUAUGUUUUAAUACUACAUAUCAUAAAACAUAAAUACAUGUGUGAGCGUAUAUAUGUAUAAUAAAGCAUAAUAUGACCGAGUGAGAAAA